rnacentral:rRNA from 1 species
UACGUAGGGGGCAAGCGUUGUCCGGAAUCAUUGGGCGCAAAGCGCGUGUAGGCGGCCCGGUAAGUCCGCUGUGAAAGUCGGGGGCUCAACCCUCGAAUGCCGGUGGAUACUGUCGGGCUAGAGUGCGGGAGAGGCGAGUGGAAUUCCUGGUGUAGCGGUGAAAUGCGCAGAUAUCAGGAGGAACACCAAUUGCGAAGGCAGCUCGCUGGAACGUAACUGACGCUGAGACGCGAAAGCGUGGGGAGCAAACAGG